AAUGUCUUAAGUUAAAUCAAACUCUAGGCCUUCAAAGCCUAUAAUGAAUAAUUAAAAUUCAGACAUUA
rnacentral:tRNA from 1 species